GUGCUCGCUCUGGCAGCACAUAUACUAAAAUUGGAACGGCAUGGAGAAGAUUAGCAUGGCCCCUGUGCAAGGAUGAUACACAAAUUUGUGAAGCGUUCUCUAUUUUU
rnacentral:snRNA from 1 species